AACGCACCUUGCGCUCCUUGGUAUUCCGAGGAGCAUGCCUGUUUGAGUGUCAUUAAUAUAAUCAAUCUCAUAAGCUUUUUUGCUUCUUGAGUGUUUGGAUGUUGGGGGUAUUAUUUGCUGGCCUGGUCAGCUCCCCUGAAAUGCAUUAGCGGAACAAUUUGUUGAUCGUUCAUUGGUGUGAUAACUAUCUACGCUAUUGACGUGAAGGCAGGGUUCAGCUUCUAACUGUCCAUUGACUUGGACAAAUCUUCAUUAAUGUGACCUCAAAUCAGGUAGGACUACCCGCUGAACUUAA
rnacentral:misc_RNA from 1 species